AAGGAGCACCGGAUCUUGGGCUGUGUCCCCGGCACACUGUGCUUUGGAGCCUGCGCUGUUGGAAUCACUCUCCUGGCCAUGCAGCCCCCU
rnacentral:pre_miRNA from 1 species